UUAAACGGUAUUAGUCUCUUUAAAAAAUCAAUACCUUUUUUGCUAUGAGAGAAAAUACACUUUGUUUUUUCUAUAUAUAAAGCUAUAAGGACCCUUGUACUCUUACCAUAAUACCAAAAAUUACUUAAAGAGGAAACAUUUUUCAAAUAUUUUUCUGCCGGUUUAAUUAAAGCUUUUUUUUCUCUUGCAAAAACUCGUUGACGGCGACAGUCGGAUAAUUGGAGUUAAUUUUUAUAAGUUUUUCAAAAGUAAAAUGAUCGGCUGUUAAGAACUUUAAUUUAGUUUACACAAGUAAACCCAAACACCGCGAGUCUUUGAGUGUCUAGUGGUGCGCUAAAUCUUAUGUUUACAAUGUAACACAACGCUGUCUUUAAAAUUCUAGCGCGCACUUUGUGACGGAACAGUAAAAAACGAGAAGACAUUCCUGAUGCAAAGAAAGUAAACGAUUAAAAAAAAAAAAAGUAAAGUUAGCAAAUAAUCUUCAAAUGAGUUUUAAAUUUAGAACGAGUGGCACAAUUAAAGCUUAAAUACUUUUAGUGAAGAGAUUACUGAAGAGUAAGACGUAAUACGAAUAAGACUUAAUACAAUAAUUAAAAAGAACAUUACAUAAAAGCGAUAAUUAUGAUAAUGGAUGCAAAAAAAAUGAUGGUGGUCUUUUUUGUAUCUUUGCUAGUGUUUUCGGAAUUAUAUACUUUAUUAGCAGCAGUUCCAUCAAAGUGUAAAGGAGUUCGCUGGCGAAAAUGCUAUUCUAAAAAGAAUUCUGAAGAAACAAAGGUAGAAAUAAAAAACAAAAGGCGCAGUGUUGAUACAAUUUUAUCAGAUAUCGAGUCAAUGAACGAAAAUUGGGACGAUGAGAGUAACUCAACGAGUUAAAAUUUUCUUUAAAAGUAGUUCACAAAUAUUUUAAUUUUUAUUGUAAAUAAAACUUAUUUAAAUUAUUAACUGAAAGACUUUAUAGUAUUUUUUUUUAAUUUGUUUUUAAAUUAUACUGGAGGUUAAAUAUUUACGGUUGUCAGCAA